AAAUUUAAUAUUUUAUUAAAAAUAAAUUUAAAUAUUACAUUAAUUAAAAUAAAAUACAAUAAAUAAAAAUAUUACUAAUAAUUAAAAAUUAGGUAAAAAUAAUUUAAAAGGUUUAAUAUUAUAAAAUAAAAAAAAUCAAAAAUCAACAUUAAAACAAAAAAUAUAGAAAAAAAUAAUAUAAGUAAAAACUACCCUACCAAUCCGCCGCCCCACCCAUUUCAUUUUCUUUUUUUCUUCUUCUCCUAGUCGUCCCCCUCUUUUCUUUUUCUUUUCUUCAUCUUCCCCACCAAACCCUUUCUUCCUCUGCUCUUUCCUUCUCUCUUCUAUUUCUGUAUAUAUAUUUUUUAUCCGUGUGUACUCUGCAUGUGCCUGCCAUUUCUUGCGAAAACGUCUGACAACAUGGAAAGCACUAAGCACGAGUGGGGGGAGCACUCCAGUGCGCGGUGCUGCGCAGCGUGCCGCAUCGAGGCGACACCCCCCUCCCCGUGCUAUGGAUGCUCCUAUGCCUUUAUUGUUGUAGUGAGUUUUUACCACAACAUCGAAAUUUUUACAACAGAGAAGAAAUC
rnacentral:lncRNA from 1 species